rnacentral:rRNA from 1 species
GUCUAUGGUCAUGCUACCCUGAACACACCCGAUCACUUCUGAUCUCAGAAGCUAAACAGGGUCGGGCCUUGUUAGUACUUGGAUGGGAGACCACCUAGGAAGACCAGGUGCUGUAGGCA